CAGUGCCGCGGUAACACGUAGGGUGCGAGCGUUAAUCGGAAUUACUGGGCGUAAAGCGUGCGCAGGCGGUUCGUUAAGACAGAUGUGAAAUCCCCGGGCUUAACCUGGGAACUGCAUUUGUGACUGGCGAGCUAGAGUAUGGCAGAGGGGGGUAGAAUUCCACGUGUAGCAGUGAAAUGCGUAGAGAUGUGGAGGAAUACCGAUGGCGAAGGCAGCCCCCUGGGCCAAUACUGACGCUCAUGCACGAAAGCGUGGGGAGCAAACAGGAUUAGAGACCCCUGUAGUCCCUGUCUCUUAUACA
rnacentral:rRNA from 1 species